GAAGAGGCAAGUUGAGGCAAGACGCCAGAGAUGGAAAAACAAACAGAACAGGAAGUGUCCGAAACAAUUUAGAAUCAUAUCAUUUAGUCUCUCCAAUGUAUUGUCCUCAAAAUACACCUGUUGUUCACCAGUGACAACGAACAAAGAUUAUAAAUCUCCACAUAACACACUUUCCUGUUUGUUGGAUCUUACAAGGAAAUAAUCCUCUCAAAUUCUAUAUGGAAAGUUAAACCAAAAAAAAAAUAUCACACAUUGAUUUACAAAAACUAGUGCACCGGGGUCACUGGAAGAUAAUUUUCAUGCUUCCCUAUCAGAAGCCUCGAGAGGACUCCCGUACCGGAUCUUGUGUUUGAUCCUAUCAUAGCAACCUGUUCUCUUUAACUAUCGGACUCACUAUGUGUUAGCCUGUGUCCAGUGCCUAAGAGCGCGUUAAUUACCUAAACUAUAUCUCCAUAGGUCUUGUUAAUUACCCGUCUCCUGUCUCAGAGGACCUUGUUAAUAACUUGUACAGUCUCUCUAAAGAGGUCCUAACAACACAUUAAAAUUAAAGAUGCUUUUCUUUUAGCACCUGUCAAGUGCUGUAAAUUGAGAAAUUUUCACAUCAGUUUAUUAGCCUACAGUAGGUUUCAUGGAUUUGUUUUUUGGGGUUUUUUUUUGGCUUGUUUUC